GUCAGGAUGGCCGAGUGGUUUAAGGCGCCAGACUCAAGAUAUGGAGGCGUGGGUUCAAAUCCAACUUCUGACA
rnacentral:tRNA from 1 species